AUAAAGGUCCACCACAGAAAUGAGUACUUUAGUCUUAUUUGCAGAUGAUAGUCUUCCACCAUAUUAUCUCUUCUAUCUUGUAUGGAUACUGCAGAAUUCCCAUAAGAUCAUUGUUCAUGGCAUUUCAUCAGUAAAGGGUUGGGGAUCCCUAUCUGGUCGCGUGGCCACUAUGCCAAUGUUGGGAACAACCAGGGGAGGCUUACAAGCAAGAAGGCAGGGGUCUACCCCCACUCCUUGUGUCUGGGCAUAGGGGUGUGGGACCAGGUAGGGAUCUUUUUCCCUCUUAUUAGGUUGAUCAAUAGAAAUUUGCAUAAGAUUUUUUGUUAUCCUCUCUCUCUCUCUCUCUCUCUCUAUAUAUAUAUAUAUAUAUAUUAAAGGAGAAUCCAACUCUAUCCUUGACUUCCUUACCCAUGAAUUCCUACAGGGCUAGACUCCUCAGAUCAAUCUUCUCAAGAUGGCUACCCAAAAGGAGUCCACUUCUUUAAAUUCUAUAGUCCGAUCCAAAUCUAGCUACGGCGCUACUAGUGCUUCCUCAAACCAAAUCAUUACCCGCAGGCAAUCCUAGUUGGCUUCUUCAAACAAACCAUAUUCCCAUGCUGUGGUCCUUUCUUCGGCUCCCGGCCCCCUUCAAACUACAAAUAAAGUCAGCUCCAGCCUUCAAACUACACAAGCCAAACCCCUCCAAAUAGCUCAGGGAUCCAAACUCAAAAGCCAGUACUUUGAAAAACCCUUCAAAGAGGAUCUCUUCACCAUUGAGGAAUCUCUUCAAAAUAAUAUUAAUUCACCAAUCAAUAUAGCUCAAAGACUAUUUUUUCAUGGGUGGCAUUUUUACUCCCCCUCUCUGGCAAAAACACAAGAAUUCUACGAAUACAUCCUUGUAGACACCCUAUGGUGUGGCCUGCUCAAAUGCAUUAAAAAUGGUUUAUUUAAUAAUGCAUUUUGAAAUUUUUGUAUGCAAAGAACUAUAGAAAGGACUUCCUUCUUGAUGGUGUUAUAGUUCUUUUAUGCAGAGUUCCAGAUACCAGAGGUAAACUGGACAAGUUGUUCUUUGUUAUUAUUAGAGGACAGUUGUUUAAGAAUUCCACCAUAUUCGAUUUCAGAGGCAUCGGUUUCAACAAUUUUGAAUGCCUCAGGAUUAGGGAUAAAAAGGCAAGGGAUCUCUUUGACUAAUAUUUUGAUAGUUUGAAUGGCACAUGUUUGAGUAGAAGAUCAGGGAGCCAGGUUCUUCUUGAGCAUUAAAUGUAAUGGCUCAGUAAUUUUACUGAUUUGAGGAAGGAAGUCAGUACGUAAUUUAGACUUCCAAGAAAUCUCUGUAAUUGGGUUUUAUCUAAAAUUUGGUCAGGAAAUUUGUCACCAAAAGAAAUGACUCGAUCGAUAGGGAUUACGGUACCCUUUUCAAUCAGAUGUCCAAGAAAACGGACUUUGGUCAGAAAGAAUUCAAUUUUUCUUUUUGAGAGGACGAGGCCAUUUACUUUUAUUAUUUGAUAGAAAGUUUUGAGGUGUUUGAAGUGCUGGUCCAUAGUGUCAGAAAAAACUAGAACAUCAUCAAUAUAGACAAUUGUAAAUUUUCCAUAAGAAUUAAAGAUGUCGUUCAUAAUUUUUUGGAAUUCACUGGCAGCAUUCUUGAGGCCGAAUGGCAUAACGUUCCAUUCGUAGAAGUCAAAGGGGGUUGUCAAUGCAGUUUUGUAAUGAUCAUUUGCAUGAAGCUGGAUUUGCCAAAACCCAGAUUUCAAUAUACAUAUUAGCUUCUUCACAAAAUUAUUUUAAAAUUUAAGUAAAUACCUCUUAAAAGAAAAAUAAAGAUUUAGGUCUGAAACCCUUGUGAAAUUGGACAUACCACAACUUUUGUCACUGGUUCUUUGUUACGUACUGGCUACGUACAAAGUCUGGAUCAACUCCCAAUGUAGGCAGAGGAGUUACCCUCCUGACAUGGGAUAUCACUGCCCAUUGGAUAUUUGAACCAUGAAUUAAAAUAAUUAAUGCACUAUUGACUCAAUUUUUAAUAUCCCAUGAAUAGUGGGAUCCAUAUGCGGAUUGAAAAUCAGUUUAGAUUUUGAACUACUUAACUCUACAGCUGCCUUUUUUCUAAUGAAAUAUUUCGAUAUCUAUAGAUAGGCAGAUUUCCUCUAAAUCUUCCAGUAAAGUAGUAGAAGACAAUAUAGUUAAAUUCAUUUGUUUUAGCUUUAACAAAAGCUAUAUAUAAUACAAUAUGGUUUUGUUUCAACUUCCUUGUCUCAAUCUCUUGCUUCAGUUUCCGUUUAAGAUAGUGAACAAUGACAAUUUAAAAUUUCAUGAUUGGCCAAACCACCAGGAAGAAAUAUGGAAGCUGCUAUCAAGUACAAAGACUGUAUGAGAAAUUAUGCAGCAUAACUGGGAGGUCAUGUGAAAGAUGGAUGUGGAGAGUUCAUUCCUGCAGGUUAAGGAGGAGAUCCUCUAUUUCCAUCACUAUUUUACAAUUGAGCACAAGGAUGCUUGGUAUCACCUUUCUUCAGACUAUAGGUUGACCUAAAAAUUACCGGAUUCUUGUUCUCUCCUGGGAUAGGAGAUUAUCCUGCGACAUUGAUAUUAGGCUUAUUGGCAAUGGUAAUAUUAUCUUCCAAUUUGGUAAUGAAGAAAAUAAAGUUCGCGCGUUGGAAGGAGGGCUAUGGUUUCUUUGGUAGAGGUUUGUCAUUGUCAAGCAUUAUUCUUUGGCUCUAUUGAAUAUAUUAAUCAUUCACCCAGAAAAAAAAUAAAAAAAAAGAGCAUUUUAUCUCCUCCCUUCAAAAGGAAACCAAUAAACUUCAAACUUGAAAUCCUGAAAAUGGUUAAACCAUUACACCCAAAAAUCUAAGGGAAUAGAUAGUUUCUUUUGUUUGGCCACUUAUGAACUGGACCAAUUCAAAGGUGGAUUUACUAGCAAAAAAAAGUGCCCAACUUCAAACUUCUGUUUCAGGACUUUUAAAUCCUUUAUUUGUGCAGGAUGACAUUCUUUUUAUGUACUAAUGACAAACCUUAAGAAAAUGUUUAUUUUUUUUCUUGUUCUCUGCUAAUGCCAUUGCCGAUGGUGAAGUUUAAUUAAAAAAUAUUUCUUUCCGUCUAGGUAUGCCUAGAUGUAAUGUA